rnacentral:rRNA from 1 species
UACGAAGGGGGCUAGCGUUGCUCGGAAUCACUGGGCGUAAAGGGUGCGUAGGCGGGUCUUUAAGUCAGGGGUGAAAUCCUGGAGCUCAACUCCAGAACUGCCUUUGAUACUGAGGAUCUUGGGUCCGGGAGAGGUGAGUGGAACUGCGAGUGUAGAGGUGAAAUUCGUAGAUAUUCGCAAGAACACCAGUGGCGAAGGCGGCUCACUGGCCCGGUACUGACGCUGAGGCACGAAAGCGUGGGGAGCAAACCGG